rnacentral:lncRNA from 1 species
AUAAUUUUAAUUGUUAAAAUUAAUUUGUUACAAAUUAAGUCGAGUGAAUACAAAAGAUUCCGAUCAGUGAAGAAAAUUUAAUGAAAGACGAUCGAUAUAAAUCGGGGAAAACAAUUUUGUGAACGGAAGAGAAAAAUGGAAUUUGCGAGAGUGUUUCUCGUAGAAAAAUAGCAGAACGGCCACGGUAUUACGACAUAACUUCUCGCCAACGGUAUAAACUCCAGCAGAGCCAUUGUCUGUCGCCCGAGGCAACCGUUCAACGAAAAGCGAGCUUCAUUGUCAUGAUUCCGUAACCUAUGAAUGGUUGGCUAUCUCGUUUAACUUCAAUUACCGUGCUUCCCUUUCAUUUCAUUGCUAGUCACUGUCAAGAAGCUGGGACACAACACCAAUGUUCUCUCAUUCUUCUCCUUUUUCCUUCUUUUUCUCCUUUUUUCCCUUUUUAUUCCGUACAUAACCUAAAACCUUUGUUGCGGAAAAACCAUCUCACCGUCAUGUUGGAUUACUCGUUAAAUUUUCCUUUCUAGAAACAUCUCGUUCUACAUCUGAUUCAAUAAUAUAAAAGAGACAGGGAUAACGAUAUUAAUUUGUAUUUUUUUUCAGGUAAAAACGAUCGAAUUUCUUCAAAUCUGAUCGGAAUGUGAUAAAAUUUUCUUCGUCCAUAAUAUAAAAGGAGCAAGAAAAAUAAAUUGACAUAGGAAAGUAAACGAUAUAUGAUGAUGAGAAAGCAGUUCAAAGAAAACAAUAGGAUCCCCCGUUGAAACAUCGAGUAUAUCCGGUUGAAGAUGGGUUGUGGCUGCAGGGGGUCCAAUUUAACGAUGUAGGCAAACGAUCGAGGCGUUAAUUACUUUCUAAUCGUUGCUUGUCGGUAUAAAAAAAAAAAAAAAGAAAAAAAGAAAGGUAAGGAAAGAAAAAUCUAACUUUGUCGAAAGUUAUAUAUUUCUCAUCGUACCUUUUCUCCGUCUAUCGACUGGUCGAUCUCCAUUAUUAUUUUUGUCGAUAUCGAAAUCGACGUAUUACUAUACCGGAUGGAAGAAAGUCAACCUUCGAGAGAUACACAGACCACCUGGAUUUCUUCCUGGGAGGUCGCAAAAACUGGAUGUAUUAAACAACCAUCAAAAAAAUAAAAGAAGCUCAGAGAUCAAAAAAAGGAAUCGCAGGUUUCGGGAGUCGAGGAACAGGCAAUAAUUAAAAGAUAUGCACUUCUUUCCUUUGACACCAGUUUUGUAUAAUAUUUUUUUUUUCAGAUACGUAUGAUGAGAAACGCUUGGAAAUUGUAAUAUUCAUAAAAGUUUGAAAGAAUAAAUGAAUUCUUUAUUUCAAAGAUCUUCCAUGGUAAAAACGAUUUACCAUGAGGUGAUCCUUCAAGAUCAUUUUCCUACGUCUAUAUACCGGGAAUCCCUUGGCUGUGAGAAAGUCCCAAGGCAGGAAGUGACUAUAAAUAUUUGCCUAGCUAGCCGUUUUUACGAUUACAACGCGAUUCAGGAGGACUGACUGGAGCUCGAUUGUACUCGUGUGACGUAAUGCUCCGUUUUGCACUGUAUUUGGUGUUGGAACAAGUUGAAGAAGGACCAUUUAAAGUUGCGAAAUGACAAAGAAGACUUUAUCACUACUAUUUUUAGAAAUUCCAUGAAUCUAUAAUCUUUUCUUAGUCAUUUUACAUGAUAUUAGUACAAGGUUAAAAAUUUAAAAAAUGAAAAAAUCUCUGUAAUAAUAUCUACUUUGCUAUAUGAGAAAUUGUAAACUCUAAAAUGAGGAAGUCUAGAGUUAAUAAUGUUCAACGAUUUGAGCAAAAUUGCAACUUUAGCUUGGAUGAUACUAUAAAUAAGUACUUUAUAUUAUACCUGUAUUGAGACAUGCUUGCGAAAAUAAUCAACAUUAACUAGUUGAACUAUAAUUAUCCUAUCAAUCUUGUACAUGGCAUGAAGGAAUUAGUCAUGCUUCUGAAACCAUUAAAAACGGACGGAGAGGGAGAAAGAAAUGAUUCACGAUAAACGCGGAGGAUCCAGUUGUACUACGAAGGCAAUAUACUAGAGGGAAGCUAAUAAGCAACCACAUAGAAGUUGGCAAGGCCUAAUAUCAGCCUAAAUAUACACGACGUGAAAGUUCAAAAGGAAGGGUCUUAAAAAGGCUAUGUGGAUUAAAAAAAACCAUAGCCGAGCCUACUGAUCUGUAAAAAAAAUUAUGAAGAUGCUCAUAUUGCAACAAAGCUAAUCUGCUCAAUCUUUAUAGCUUCCAUCAUCAACUCUUCAUCAACGCAAAGAGAACUUGGUCGCAAUUAGAAUAUCACAAAUUGUAUUCGAAGAUAACAGGCUACAAAUGCAUUAAAAACACAACAAUAAUUCAUAGAAAGAAAUUAAAAACUUGCUUCUACAACAAGAGAUUUCUUUUGUUCAAGUUAAAGUAAAGAAAAUUGUAAAGUGAUUCUCUAUUUUAUGAACAAGAUCCGGAAUUAGCCUCUGAAAAUAUUUAUUUUUCUUGAAUUAUCUCAAGAGAAGAAAGAGAGAAGAAAUCGACAGGAAGAGAGAACACGAUUGAAUCUUUAUUGUUAAUCCAUGGAUAUAGAAAAGAAUCGAAGAGUCCUCGUCUCGAUACUUGUCGUCGUAGAAACGAGAUCACGGGUAUCAGAGUUUUCACAGAGUCCUAGGAAAAUAUUAUCGUAAGAGGGAAAGAAAGAAACGCGAUUUCCAAUUGGAGGAGCAGUUUCAACGUCGAGAAGAAACUCCUCCGUCCAUUUUCCAUCCUCUCGUGAAUCCGCCUCUCCCUUUCCCUCGCCGUACAGGUACGACUCGGGUCGACUAACUUUGCCUCGUUUGGAGCCCAUUCUUCCCCAUUCAUUCCCUGUGUCGUUUUCUCUCCGAGGACAAUCCACGGUGUCCUGGGGUCUCACGCCUCGGCAUUGACCGCUACCAUUCAUCGGUUCAUUCUCUUCCUUCGACAGCGACUCUUUGUCACCCCCCUCAGAGAUACGCGGCGGAGGGGAGGAGGGAAGAAUGUGGGGGAAGAAACCGUGAAAAAUAAAAGGAAGCCGAGUUUGCGGUGGAAAAAUGAGAAAAAGAAAGAAAGAGAGAGAGAGAUAGGGAGACGGCUCGAGCCGCGGAAUUAUGGAGCGUGGAGAGACGGGUAUUUUCUUGCGGUAUUCUAUUCAAUCGGCCGCUUACUGCGAUUCCAACCAUUCUCAGCUUCGAUGGUAGCAGCCACUUUGCCGAAAUCACGCCCUCCUUUUGACAAUGACAUCAAGAUUUAUCGAAAUCCCGCAGGGGAUUCUAUGUAUCGUUAUUUUUGCGCUCCUGUUCCCUUUGUAUCGUAUUUCCCGUGCAACCAAUAAACCUUGAUUACGCUUUAUCAGACUGGCUUGUCAUCGUCAUUAUCAAUGAAUGCCGAAAAUCAAGAGAAUAUUGUAAGCUUUGCGUGGUUAAGAUUCGUUUUCUUCGGGAUCGAGUUAAAAAAAGAUUGGUUAAAAUUGAAAUUGUAGAACAAAUAUUUCUUCCACUUUCAACCAGGGGCGCAUCGUCGCGUAAGAAGUAAACAGGAAUGUCGAGCGAAAAAAGAAACUCGUGCAAACAGUACGAAAGAAUUAUAGACAAUAUUUCAUUUAUUUUCAACGUUUCAUCGUGCAAGAGGUAACAGAAAUGUCGAUUAAAAG